GCGGACGGGUGAGUAACGCGGGGGUAACCUGCCUCAUACAGGGGGAUAACAGUUAGAAAUGACUGCUAAUACCGCAUAAGCACACAGUACCGCAUGGUACAGAGUGAAAAACUCCGGUGGUAUGAGAUGGACCCGCGUCUGAUUAGCUGGUUGGCGGGGUAACGGCCCACCAAGGCGACGAUCAGUAGCCGACCUGAGAGGGUGACCGGCCACAUUGGGACUGAGACACGGCCCAAACUCCUACGGGAGGCAGCAGUGGGGAAUAUUGCACAAUGGGGGAAACCCUGAUGCAGCAACGCCGCGUGAGUGAAGAAGUAUUUCGGUAUGUAAAGCUCUAUCAGCAGGGAAGAAAGUGACGGUACCUGACUAAGAAGCCCCGGCUAACUACGUGCCAGCAGCCGCGGUAAUACGUAGGGGGCAAGCGUUAUCCGGAUUUACUGGGUGUAAAGGGAGCGUAGACGGCACAGCAAGUCUGAAGUGAAAUCCCCGGGCUCAACCCGGGAACUGCUUUGGAAACUGUUGGGCUAGAGUGCUGGAGAGGCAAGCGGAAUUCCUAGUGUAGCGGUGAAAUGCGUAGAUAUUAGGAGGAACACCAGUGGCGAAGGCGGCUUGCUGGACAGUAACUGACGUUGAGGCUCGAAAGCGUGGGGAGCAAACAGGAUUAGAUACCCUGGUAGUCCACGCCGUAAACGAUGCAUACUAGGUGUCGGGGAGCAAAGCUUUCCGGUGC
rnacentral:rRNA from 1 species